rnacentral:misc_RNA from 1 species
AUGGAUCUACUAGUGGAAUUAUUCGACGGAGUUCUAGGAAGUUCAUACUACUUACGCGAUGGCUGGCUCCCUAUUGCUGGAGAAUUCAUUUGCGAGUUUGUAGAAUCUGGUAGGUUGGUUAGGAAUGCGAUGAGAGGGAUCAAUAAUCUAGCUAAUGUCUGUCAAGAGUUGCACGGGCUUCGGAGACACUACACCUUCGAGACUCCUCCGAAUGGAUAUACUGAAGAAGAUAUGCAGAUGGGAUUCAUAGCGACAGAUUGGAUGAUCUCUACAAUACAUGAUAUUUGCACAAAUCAUAUCGAAGGAUUUACGGAGCUUCUUGGAUGGAUGUCUCGAGAAAAUCGCCUACUUGUCGAAUUCGCUUUCAAAUCUCUCAACCUUGUCUACCGUGCCAUUACUGAAAAUCCAGGAGGGGGUGCAAAUAUGGCUGAUGAAGAUAAUGAUGAUGGUGAAGAUGAUGAUGAUAACGAAGAAGAAGAUGCUGAUCAAGGGUGUCAAGUCCCGUGUCCCGUUUGCCCCGUUGUCCCGUUUUUUGAGUGUUUUUACGGGAACGGGACGUCCCGCUGUCCCGUUUUUGUAAUUUUUACGGGACAUUGACACCCUUGAUGCUGAUGAAGGAGGUGACGACGACGAAGAAGAAGGGAACCAAGAUGUAGCCAUGGACUUUCAUGAGCAAAACCUUCUUGAUCAGCGGGGAAGAGAGGACAAUACAGAUUCAGAACACGAGGUACAAAACGAUUCGGAUUAUAGCUCGAAUAGCACUAAAAGUCAUUCCCGUAAUCCAUCGGUUUCCUCAGUUCUUGCUACUAAUAAUCAAAAAUCGGAUGAUAAUGAAUCAACGAAGCUUUUCGCCACGAAACUCUCCGAACUCGAAGCAUACCGAACAAUGUGCAAGGAUCAGAUGACAUCAAUCGAAAGACUUCUGGAACAAGGUGGAGCCAGUUGUAUUGUACCACAAGCCACGAUUCUAUCAGUAAAAGCAACACAUUUAGCAACAAUGACAACUUCUACGAUUAUUGCAAGACCUGAUAUUGAUGUGAUAAUGAAUUCAAACGAAGCCACCACGAGCACAGUUCUGAAGGCUCGUCACGUCGACUUUGUGCACAAGACGUCGAUUCACCACACCAACGACUUGACGCUCAUCGACUUGGUGCUCAAUGUGCAGUGGCGUUUGGCUCUCCCAUCCGACGCGAACUUCGUCUUGAAGUACAAAAAUAAACAAGGCGAUUUGGUGACACUCGUCGUGGAUAGCGACCUCCUGAUGGUUCUUCACACGUCUGGAGCCACGUUCGACGUGACCGUCGUUGUCGACUCAAGAAAUCGUGAAAUCGACGUUGGAAAGAUCAUCGACGCUCUCCGAAAGAGCUUUGAAGCGGCUCCACAAUCGACAGUACCUUCCGAGAAAACUCCACCAUCGCAUACUCCAUCGCCACAAUCGUUGCGAGGACCCCCCGCCGCCAGUAUCAAGUUCUCCACGAAACUCUCUCCUGCUGGCUUUUCAUGCACCCGGAUUUCAAGCUCAAGCUCAACAAAAACGCCGAAAAAUAGGAUGCUCGACACUCUCCGCUGCCUCCAGCACUCGUGUAUGCCAGUUCGCCGAACACUGAAAAUGAGGCCUCACCAACAUCGCCACUUGCUGUAUUUUAAAG